UACAGGGGUGAGCAAACGUUGCUCGGAAUCAUUGGGCGUAAAGCGCACGUAGGCGGUUUGUUAUGUCGGAUGUGAAAGCCCUUGGCUCAACUGAGGAAGUGCAUCCGAAACUGGCAGCUAGAGUACUAAAGAGGGUCGCGGAAUUCCCGGUGUAGAGGUGAAAUUCGUAGAUAUCGGGAGGAACACCGGUGGCGAAGGCGGCGACCUGGGUAGAUACUGACGCUGAGGUGCGAAAGCGUGGGGAGCAAACAGGG
rnacentral:rRNA from 1 species